GAGGAGGUGUCAGAUAUUGAUUGUGUGUCCAAGGUAGUCUUCUUGUAUACAUCCCAGGCCUUUGUUGGUGUGUUUGUGUGUGUGUGUGCUUGUGUGUAUGGUUGUGACAGUAAGUGUCAGAUAUGGACAGCCUGUCCACUGAUCAUCAGAGAGCUGGAUAUUUUUAUUUUGCAGGUAAAGAUUAUAAUUAACACUUGGGCUCCUCUUUAUCAAUGUGACCCUGAAGCCAGCAGUAAUUGACAUUUCUAUUAAAGAGACAUUGGCUCUAAUCAAAGCUCGAAGAUGACAGGGAGUGUUUCUUGUGAAAGGUUAUUAGCAUGAGGCUCAAAGUGGAAUAAAAAACAAGGUGGGUAUGAAUAGCGAAUGUUAUCUUUAGAAUUAGAAUUGAUGGUGGUGACGAGGCUGUUACAGUGUUUGUUAUACAUGGAUACUGUACCUGUAGCUGUUAAGGUUUUAAAGGGAGGGAGGUAUUGAGAUACGCGCGUACCAAUAUUAUUUCAUUAUUCUCUUCAAUAUUAUGGUAAUACUAUAUUUAGGGCUGGUACUUGAUUUAAAAAAAAAUCUAAUUAUUCAGAGGCUUUGUAAUUAAUUAAUCCCAUUAAUCCAGUGGGCCAGAGAAUUUAUUAAUUUUUCUGAUGUGGACUUACUCUUCUUAGCUCUGAAUCCACUCAUCUGGUCGAGUGUGGGUUGGAUCGCUGUACUCGCACUAACGUUAGCUUCCAUGCUAGCUGCAACAUGUUAAGCAUUCAGGUGAUACCGGAGGCUUAACAUGCUGCGGUGAUGUGCAAAUUCUUUUUUGCAUAGCUUGCACAAUACUAUUUCUUUUUAUUUAACCUCCUAAAACCCGAACUCUUGCAAGGCAUGCAUUUUUAUUUUCUCUUUGAUAUUUAGGCUAAUUGGGACCUGAUGAGUGUAAAAACAAAGAAUGAUCUUUUUACAUUAUGUAGUUUCUGAGAAAAUGAUGUCCACAUAUGAGGACAUUCGUUUUAAAUUUUGAGAGAAGGCCCUUGUGAACAAAAUUUAAUAUUGUGGUCUUGACAACCAAAAAUGUGAUGUCCACACAUGUGGACGCCAGGUCUUAGGAGGUUAAAGCACCUUCAUCAGCCACUUUGUUCGUUUUUCCUUGCAUUGGGUGGGACUAGAAUAACUGCUGCACCUAAUCACAUUGGGGCGCGCCAGCAUUAGUAGUAUGCCUGAAACUGGUCCAGUGAGAAAUAUUCCAAGGUGCAAAAAUACAGUAGGUGCAAUCAGAGUCAGCCCAAGCCUCAAUGGGGCCCUAAGCAAAAUUUGAUUUUGGGUCCCUCGAUUUCUGCCAAUAAUAUUAAUUGUUGAACAUUCACACACCUUCACAAAUCUCUUUUAUUAAUAUUACAUGACAUGCAAAUGUUCCUUUUUCUUGGCGUUUUUUCCUCUUCUUCCUCUUUCUUUUCUCUGCUUCUGAAGGAUAUGUCCUUUUUUUGAGACAUUUUUUUGUCCCACAACUACCUGCCCUUUGGAUGCUCAGUGCAAAUUGCACAGCAGAAGGCACAUAACGGUAACGGAGCUUUGACAUAUCGACAGUAAGAAUCAUAGGCCUACAUCAGCAGCAGCAGCACUAAAAUGUUUUUACUUUAUUUUAUUUUUACAAUAAUAUACAUUUAAUCAUACAGAAAGCAUCACUCAGACGUGAAAAAUUCCCUCUCUCUCUCUCUCUAUAUAUAUAUAUAUAUAUAUAUUAUAUACAUAUUGGAUUGCUCUUGGGGCCCCCCUAUUGGCCGCGGGGUCUAAGCAGGCGCUUAGUUCGCUGAUGCCUUGGGCUGGUUCUGGGUGCAAUUAAUACGCAUUAAUAUUUUUAACGAGAUAAUAUUACUGUAAAAAAUUAAUCGCAAUUAAUGCAUUAAAGUCUAGGUCCUAAUUAUAUUACAUUAUAUUUAGUCAAAUUUUUUUGGCCUAGUGACUUUUGAAUUACAAUGAUCAGCCCGAUUAAUUGGCUGACCAACUCACCAGUCUAUCUCUAACAUCAAGUGACAUCCUAGAAACAUAUUCUUCUCUGAUUCCUAUAGGAUCAACUCAACCAUCAUGUAUACGCCUGCUUCAAUUUUAAAGUGGCAGUUUUUUCUGUGAUUGAACAUGUUUGUUUGAAGUAGACAAUCUGUUGAAUCUCACACCCCACACAUGGAUUUUCACAAGGUUUCACUUUUUUUUCCAUCCUGCCUGUGCUGUUCUCUUCCUCUCAAUGUCUUCUUUUGAGAUCACACAUCCACUUGUCCACAUACAGCUGGAUGUGACACAUGCAAACUCCUUAUCAAUAUCUCUUCUGAAACAGCCGCAUGCACUCUGUGAUCAUUCAUUUCCCAUCGAGCCCCUCAGCCGGGCUACUGUGCGUGUUGCCAUGGUAACUAAGUACUUUUCAAAUGAUGAGUUCACUGGUGAUAGCGCAUCCCAAGGAAAAAAAAAAUCAUUAUAUGUUUGUGCUCCUGUGUGUGUUUUGGUGUCCUGAUUAUGAGCACAGGUGCAUCCUGGGGGGUUUAUGUGAACACUCCACCCCUCCUCUGUGCUCCUCAAAAAAAUGACAGCCCCUCCAGUGCCCCCUCUGUCAGAACAGCUCAAAACCUGAUGACACCGCAGCAGCGUCCAUGCGAGAUGGCUCGGCUUGCUGUCAGCGCGGAGUGCAGACAAACAAAUUGGAGCUUAAUGUGCAGAAAACAAUAGAGAUUCAGGUCUCACACACACUCGCCUACUCAUCCCCUUCUGGAUAUUACAGGCAGCGGGGUGGCUCGGUUAUUAGAGAGACAUCACUCAAACACAGAGAGCUGUUAUUUCAGCCCAGUGCUCUGACCUGAGAGGAGGUGGGGGCAGAGGGAGCAUAUGCUGAUCAAUACUGCCUCACAUUAUUCGAGAAUAAUAGUCAGAGCAGUGAGGAUGGGAGAGAUAUUAAGUUAAAAGGUCCAGAGGAUCAUUAUCCCCAACAUUCCCCAGAUCCUGCCCACCAUGCACCCAAAAAAGCAUGACUGGGUGUUUUUUCUCUGUCACAGAUGACAAAACAAUGUGUUAUAACCACUAAUGCAAGUCUGCAGAUCUGUCUCUCCAACCAUCACCUCCACAUCCAUCACCGUCUGGUUUCAAACCCAACAAAAUAUCUGCAGUAUCAUCUGUCCUGCUGAAAAGCUCAGCAGCUGUUUGCUUCUCUCCACCAAAAACCUGCAGAGUGUCAGGAAAGUGCAGCAAAGAUUCCCAUGACCCCUCUCACCCAGCGAGACGCACUCUUGGAGAAGAUGGUCAUUCUCGACUACUACUGCGAGAAAAGCUUUUUUCUAUAAGAGCGGACUAGCUGCAUAAUAGCUGCCUUUAGAUUCAGUCUCAUCUCAGCCUUUUCCCGUGUACCACUCU